ACUCACCCAGACCAAUUACUAGUCCUGGAAGCUCCACUCAUGUAAGAGUCACAUCUCUCGGUCGUUCUCAGCAGUUUCCAGAGAGACUCAAGCUGUUGCCAGGGAGCAUCCAGCAGACGGGAAGACAGAUGAUGCUGGAGACUGAGGAGCGACCUGCUGGAAGGAGAACAGUCCUUGGGGCGGAAUUCUGAGUGGGAUCCAACACAUUCAACAGCCGAUUGUGGAAUGAACAAACAACAGCUCAGCGCUUCCUUCUCCAAUGGGAUUAACUCUGCUUUCUCCUGCCC
rnacentral:lncRNA from 1 species